UAACCUGCCUUGUAGCGGGGGGAUAACUAUUGGAAACGAUAGCUAAUACCGCAUAACAAUGGAUGACACAUGUCAUUUAUUUGAAAGGGGCAAUUGUUCCACUACAAGAUGGACCUGCGUUGUAUUAGCUAGUAGGUGAGGUAAUGGCUCACCUAGGCGACGAUACAUAGCCGACCUGAGAGGGUGAUCGGCCACACUGGGACUGAGACACGGCCCAG
rnacentral:rRNA from 1 species